CAUUGAUGCAUGUGCGUCCGAAGAUGACAUUGUAUGUCGUUGGGCAAUCAACCACCAAGAAGUUAUUGGUAAUGGUAGCUGUGUAAGGGCAUGUACUUAUGGUGAAAGGUAAGUGUAUGCUCCCCAAGGGUUGCAUGAUAUCACUGGAGAAGCUUAUCAGAGGGGAAAUCGAGCGAUCGAGCAAGUGUCCAGCUACAUUAAGUACCCUGAAAGCUUCAGCAAACAUGAUAUUGACCGAAGCCCCCGUGUCUACCAGGAUUCGCCAUACUUCAAAGUUGGAUAUGUGAGCUUCCACGAUCAGUAGAUCGUUGUGAGGGUAGAUGAUACCUCUUUCUUCCUCAAGGUAGAAACAUAUUGGAUCCUAGUUAGGCUUUUGAUACUUACCUCCCCUGAUGUCUUCCACGUAAAACACUUGGUGGCCAGACCUUAAAGCUCAUUCACUAUUUUUCAUGGCCAUGUUAGAAGAUUUAGAUAUGGGUGUGCCACCACUUAUGGAAUAUAUCACAUUCACCUGGAGUUGGUUACGGUUACCCCUUGGAGGGUGAAGAAGGAAUUGAUCAAUUUUUCCUUCACGUGUGAUGCGAUGAAAGUUAAGCACUCAAAUUAAACCCUCUUGUUGUCAAAUUGUAAUAUAAAUGCAAGUAGGGGUCAUUCUAAACCGGGGAUUAGGAGGGUUUGCUAAAACCUCUAAACUUACUCAAAAACAUAAAAACAAAGUUAAAAACGUUUGAAUAAACUCAAGGGACUCAAAACAUAUUCUAAAGACUUAAAACAACUUUAAAACAC
rnacentral:lncRNA from 1 species